AUUGAACGCUGGCGGCAGGCCUAAUACAUGCAAGUCGAACGGCAGCACAGCAGAGCUUGCUCUGUGGGUGGCGAGUGGCGGACGGGUGAGGAAUACAUGGGAAUCUGCCCAGUCGUGGGGGAUAACGUAUGGAAACGUACGCUAAUACCGCAUGCGCCCUAAGGGGGAAAGCCGGGGACCGCAAGGCCUGGCGCGAUUGGAUGAGCCCAUGUUCGAUUAGCUAGUUGGCGGGGUAAAGGCCCACCAAGGCGACGAUCGAUAGCUGGUCUGAGAGGAUGAUCAGCCACACUGGAACUGAGACACGGUCCAGACUCCUACGGGAGGCAGCAGUAGGGAAUAUUGGACAAUGGGGGCAACCCUGAUCCAGCCAUGCCGCGUGAGUGAAGAAGGCCCUCGGGUUGUAAAGCUCUUUUGUCCGGAAAGAAAGCAAUCGGUUAAUACCCGGUUGUUCUGACGGUACCGGAAGAAUAAGCACCGGCUAACUUCGUGCC
rnacentral:rRNA from 1 species